UCCAACGACUUCCCGCCGUGCGCACUAA
rnacentral:sRNA from 1 species